AUACAGUUUGCCAUUCAAAGUGGCCACUCCCAGGCGGCACCUCCUAGUGAGCAUGGGCACACAUGCCACCCACUUCCCUGCAUGGCCACACCAACACGACUCCGGAGCAUGCUCAUCGCUUCUGCCAACUGCCAGCGACCAACAAUUGGAUCAUACACCUCUACCGUACUCAACGAAUCACCUGUCACAGAUAUACUGACAAUGGGGUCCAACUGGGUCCACUUGGCACGGC